UACGGAGGGGGCUAGCGUUGUUCGGAAUUACUGGGCGUAAAGCGCACGUAGGCGGCUUUGUAAGUUAGAGGUGAAAGCCCAGGGCUUAACCGGGGAACGUGCGUCUGAUACUGGAUGGCUUGAGGUUGGGAGAGGGAUGCGGAAUUCCAGGUGUAGCGGUGAAAUGCGCAGAUAUCAGGAAGAACACCCGUGGCUAAGGCGGCUCUCUAGUACGGUACUGACGCUGAGACGCGAAAGCGUGGGGAGCGAACAGG
rnacentral:rRNA from 1 species